GGCUCGUCUGUAGGACAGAUACUUCUCUCAUACGGAAGAUAUGGAUGGUUCGAUUCCAUCACGAGCCACCA
rnacentral:tRNA from 1 species